rnacentral:rRNA from 1 species
AUUGAACGCUGGCGGCAUGCCUAACACAUGCAAGUCGAACGGGGCAGCAAUGCCUAGUGACGGACGGGUGAGGAACACGUAGGAAUCUGCCCUUAAGUGGGGGAUAACCAGGGGAAACCCUGACUAAUACCGCAUGAUCUCUUCGGAGCAAAGAGGGGGACCGCAAGGCCCCUCGCUUCUGGAUGAGCCUACGUCUGAUUAGCUAGUUGGUAGGGUAAAGGCCUACCAAGGCGACGAUCAGUAACUGGUCUGAGAGGAUGAUCAGUCACACCGGAACUGAGACACGGUCCGGACUCCUACGGGAGGCAGCAGUGGGGAAUAUUGGACAAUGGGCGCAAGCCUGAUCCAGCAAUGCCGCGUGUGUGAAGAAGGCCUUCGGGUUGUAAAGCACUUUAGCCUGGAAAGAAAAAACUUUGGUUAACACCCAAAGUCUUGACGGUACCAGGAGAAUAAGCACCGGCUAACUCUGUGCCAGCCGCCGCGGUAAAAC